AUUGAACGCUGGCGGCAGGCCUAACACAUGCAAGUCGAACGAGUGGCGGACGGGUGAGUAAUGUCUGGGAAACUGCCCGAUGGAGGGGGAUAACUACUGGAAACGGUAGCUAAUACCGCAUACCCUCGGAUGUGCCCAGCAUGGAUUAGCGAGUAGGUGGGGUAAUGGCUCGCCUAGGCGACGAUCCCUAGCUGGUCUGAGAGGAUGACCAGCCACGUUGGAACGUAGACACGGUCCAGACUCCUACGGGAGGCGCCAGUGGGAAAUAUUGGACAAUGGGCGAAAGCCUGAUGCAGCCAUGCCGGUUGUAUGAAGAAGGCCUUCGGGUUGUAAAGUACUUUCAGCGAGGAGGCGUUACUCGCAGAAGAAGCACCGGCUAACUCCGUGCCAGCAGCCGCGGUAAUUC
rnacentral:rRNA from 1 species